AUUGAACGCUGGCGGCAGGCCUAACACAUGCAAGUCGAACGAGUGGCGGACGGGUGAGUAAUGUCUGGGAAACUGCCUGAUGGAGGGGGAUAACUACUGGAAACGGUAGCUAAUACCGCAUACUAUCAGAUGAGCCUAGGUCGGAUUAGCUAGUUGGUGGGGUAAAGGCCAACCAAGGCGACGAUCCUUAACUGGUCUGAGAGGAUGAUCAGGCACACUGGAACGGAGACAAGGUCCAGACGCCUACGGGAGGCAGAAGUGGGGAAUAUUGCACAAUGGGCGCAAGCCUGAUGCAGCCAUGCCGCGUGUAUGAAGAAGGCCUUCGGGUUGGAAAGCACUUUCAGCGGGGAGGCGUUACCCGCAGAAGAAGCACCGGCUAACUCCGUGCCAGCCGCCGCGGUAAUUC
rnacentral:rRNA from 1 species